UAGCCAAGUGGUUAAGGCUAUGGAUCGCCAAUCCGGAGACGACGGGUUCGAUUCCCGU
rnacentral:tRNA from 1 species